rnacentral:rRNA from 1 species
UACGUAGGGUGCGAGCGUUAAUCGGAAUUACUGGGCGUAAAGCGUGCGCAGGCGGUUCGUUGUGUCUGAUGUGAAAGCCCCGGGCUCAACCUGGGAAUGGCAUUGGAACUGGCGAGCUGGAGUGUGGCAGAGGGGGGUGGAAUUCCGCGUGUAGCAGUGAAAUGCGUAGAUAUCGGAAGGAACACCAGUGGCGAAAGCGGCUUCCUGGUCCAGCACCGACGUUCAGGCACGAAAGCGUGGGGAGCAAACAGGG